rnacentral:rRNA from 1 species
GAUGUUGGGUUAAGUCCCGCAACGAGCGCAACCCUUGUCUUUAGUUGCCAUCAUUAAGUUGGGCACUCUAGAGAGACUGCCAGGGAUAACCUGGCGGAAGGUGGGGAUGACGUCAAAUCAUCAUGCCCCUUAUGCUUAGGGCUACACACGUGCUACAAUGGGUAGUACAGAGGGUUGCCAAGCCGUAAGGUGGAGCUAAUCCCUUAAAGCUACUCUCAGUUCGGAUUGUAGGCUGAAACUCGCCUACAUGAAGCUGGAGUUACUAGUAAUCGCAGAUCAGAAUGCUGCGGUGAAUGCGUUCCCGGGUCUUGUACACACCGCCCGUCACACCACGGGAGUUGGAGACGCCCGAAGCCGAUUAUCUAACCUUUUGGAAGAAGUCGUCGAAGGUGGAAUCAAUAACUGGGGUGAAGUCGUAACAAGGUAGCCGUAUCGGAAGGUGCGGCUGGAUCACCUCCUUUCUAAGGAGA